GGCAGCAGUGAGGAAUAUUGGUCAAUGGUCGGAAGACUGAACCAGCCAUGCCGCGUGCAGGUAAGACGGUCCUAUGGAUUGUAAACUGCUUUUGUACGGGAAGAAACACUCCUUCGUGAAGGAGCUUGACGGUACCGUAAGAAUAAGGAUCGGCUAACUCCGUGCCAGCAGCCGCGGUAAUACGGAGGAUCCAAGCGUUAUCCGGAAUCAUUGGGUUUAAAGGGUCCGCAGGCGGUUAGAUAAGUCAGCGGUGAAAUCCGGCAGCUUAACUGUCGAACUGCCAUUGAUACUGUUUGACUUGAAUUACUGUGAAGUAACUAGAAUAUGUAGUGUAGCGGUGAAAUGCUUAGAUAUUACAUGGAAUACCAAUUGCGAAGGCAGGUUACUAAUGGUUUAUUGACGCUGAUGGACGAAAGCGUGGGGAGCGAACAGGAUUAGAUACCCUGGUAGUCCACGCUGUAAACGAUGGAUACUAGCUGUUGGGAGUAAUUUCAGUGGCUAAGCGAAAGUGAUAAGUAUCCCACCUGGGGAGUACGAACGCAAGUUUGAAACUCAAAGGAAUUGACGG
rnacentral:rRNA from 1 species